rnacentral:misc_RNA from 1 species
GAUGAAGAACGUAGCGAAAUGCGAUACUUGGUGUGAAUUGCAGAAUCCCGUGAACCAUCGAGUCUUUGAACGCAAGUUGCGCCCGAAGCCAUUAGGCCGAGGGCACGCCUGCCUGGGCGUCACACGUCGUUGCCCCCCCAUCUACUCCUUCGGGAUUGCGAGGGGCGGAUGAUGGCCUCCCGUGCGCCUCGUCGCGCGGUUGGCAUAAAUGCCAAGUCCUCGGCGACGCACGCCACGACAAUCGGUGGUUGCGAAACCUCGGUUGCCCGUCGUGUGCGGUCGUCGCGCAUCGAGGGCUCGAAAAAAUUGCCGGGCUCCGGCUCGGCUUUCAACGCGACCCCAGGUCAGGCGGGGUUACCCGCUGAAUUUAAGCAUAUCAUAAGCGGAGGA